rnacentral:lncRNA from 1 species
AGCACUCUGAAAGAAGGUUCAGUCUGAAUUUUAUUCAUAAACGCACAAUCUUUAGUCCACAUCCUCAAAGGCAGACGAUUGCAUAUCUCAACAGAACAGUGAUAACAUUUGCUCAAUUAACAAUCAUAAUCGCAUGCACACAUAACAAAGUUAUUUACAUCAGGAUUUGGGACACAAUAUCCAAUUCCAUGUUUAUACCAUUUUGCGCAAUCCAAAUGGCAGGAUUCAUUGAGGCAUUCGUAUCUGUUACUCAUCAAGAAAAUUAAACAUUUCUUCUGAGCAUCCACCUUUGGCACCAUCAUCUCAGCUUCAAAUAUGUGAAAAAAAUUACAAGUAUCAAUUAAAAACAAAAGACAAAUGUUCAAAGCAUAUAUUAAAAAAUGUAUUCGUAAAACAGAAUGCAUUUUAUUCGGAGCACUCUACUAAUUUUGCUGAAUGUUUUCUAAGCAUAGAAUUCUACUGAAUUUUGGUUGGGAACUCUUGGCAGUGAUUCAAGUUGCUGGCAUUUUUUUAUGUUUCAAAUGACAACCAUCUGAGAGCUAGCACACUUUUUGACUUUUGUGAUUGCCAAUAACAUCCCUUCAAGCAAAUUUUUUGAUGUACUGGUUAUAUAACGUUGUAUCUUUCAAGACAUUUUGUUGGUCCUCCAUUUGUAUCCAGAUACGGAAAGUUCUAGAAUAGUAUAAAAUUUCCCACUCAUAUUUAUUAGAUCUUAAACCAUAGAUUGGAGGCAUGGAUUUUAUUAUCUAACAAACAACCGAUUUGUCUUUGUAACCUGAAUUUCCCCUCAAUAUACCUAUUUGAAAUAUUGGUUUUGUCACACCCCUGCCUGCGUGGGGCUCGUGAGGCACCUAGUGCCCACAUGGAGGCCACAUGAGAGAGGAAUACGGGACUCCUCUGCCAGAUAUUAUCCGUUUCUGAGGCCCGCACGCGCGCCGCACGCACUGCUGAGACCCUUUUUCGGUUUUGUUUUCCACCCAAAAUGCGUUUGCAUUAUUUUGGAGACACCCGCCUCAUAUGCCCAGGCUCUGAAACGAGUUAUAUCCGAUGGUGGGAAGGGUGUGAGGUCCAAUAGUUCCACAUCGAAAAGACUCAUUUCAGAGUCUGGGCAUAUGAGACAGGUAUCUUCAAAUUCUGCAGCCGCAUUUUGGAUGGAAAAUAAAACUGGAAAGGGGUCUGAGCGGUGCGUGCAGCGCGCGUGCGGGCCCUAGAACCGGACAAUAUCUGGCAGGGAAGCUCCAUGUUCCCCCCUUCAUGUGGCCCCCACGUGGGCACUGGGUGCCGCACGUGCCCCGCGGAGGCAGGGGCGUGACAGGUUUACUGCUUGAAACAUAUAUAGGUUUAAUGAAAAAAUAUGGACAAGAUAUAUAAUUAUAAGAAGAGCAAAUAAAAAUUAUGGAUACUUGCACUUGGUCAACAAAUUAUCUUUAAUUACAGAGAAAAUGCUGAUAGCAAUAUAGAGUUUUAAUGGUUUUUGGAUUCCCACCUUCAUAACAUUGUAAACAUAUACAGAAGUAGAGCAGCAACUUAUUUCAUUAUAUAAUAGUCACAAGGGAUGUUAUUUAACUACAUCUAUGAAAUUUAUAAUUGAAAUAUGGUUAUCAUAUAUCUUAAUAAUAUUAUUUGAAUACAGAUGUAUCCAGGAUACUGUGAUUUCACUGUUGGAAACCGUAAUAUGUGUAUCGGAAGGCGAACAGGACGGUAGAUUGAGUUGCCUCCUUUGCUACCCAUCAUUUCGAAGAGGUCUCAUGAACAUGUGCUAAUACCCCCAUCUUUAUGUUUCUUAACUCAGUUGGUUGUACUCAUGCUAGAUUAACAUGAGUGACCGUUGUACCAAAAAAUAAAAAAUCCAUUCUUACAUUAUGAUGACCAUCACUGAUUGGGCUGCUAGUUAGUUUUGGUUGCAAUCGUGAACCAGAAAUGAAGGAAAAUGUAACUGCCACUUCGAAGAGAGGCCAUGGCUUCUCUAGACCAUGCAUACUUUUGAACAUGUUUGUAGGUUCAUAGGUUCAUUUUGGAGCAGACUAUCAACUCAUAUGCUAUGCCAUGGAAAGGUAAUAAUAUUCAAGCAUGAUGCUCACAUGGGAAGAUGGAGUUGUAUUUUUCAGUCAUCAUCUGUAAAGACUUGUGUACUGGAGGAAGAAAAUUAAAAAGGAAGUUCCAACUAGACCAAUAUUAUUUUUUCCUUUCUAUUCUUCUGCCUGAGUACUGCCCAGCAGAAGUUAGAUUAAUUAUUUUAACAUAAUAUCUAAUAUUAAAAUCGAAUUGUGGGGAAGAAUAGAACUUGUGAACUGAUUCCAAAACAAAUGUAAUGGAAAGCAAUCGAGUAAAGCUUUUGGAGAUCUCAUUUAUUUUUCCUCUUCAUAUCCAUUAGCCAUAGAUCAUGGCUAAUUGUUUCUCAAAAAAAUAUUGCUUAACUAGUUCUGUGAAAACAUCUUGUCAUUUGUCUAAAAUUGAAUUUGGUCGAUGGAAAUGGAUUAAAAGAGAUGGAAGGAGAUUAGAAAGUACCUGAUACAAAGACAAGGAGGACUAGAAGAACAUAGGAUAGCCUGGCCAUCUUCUUCUAUGACAGAUAGAAAUGCUAUGUUGUUCAAGCUUACCUCCGCUUUGGUGAUGAAAUAGAUUAUAAGACUUCAUAUUUAUAAUCACUUGAUGCAUGAUCUGUCAUAGAUUUUUUUGCCAUUUUUGGAUGAUACAUUUA